AUGGAGAAAUUGGAGAAGAGGAUGGAUGCUGCUGAACAACAAAUCAAAGAGCUGCGUGAAAAUCUUAAUAGGAGAUUUGACCAGCUGGUUGAGAUGAUAAGAAAGGGUGUCCCCCCUGCUACCAAUGAAGGAGAUUCAUCUAAAGAAGAGGAAGAUGUUCAUCAAGGAAGAAGGAGAGGUAAUCUUGGAGCAAGACCGCCACAACAACAUGUUGUUCAACGUCCUUCAAGAAGGCCAAUUUAUGUUGAAGCUUAUGAAGAUGAAGAAUAUGAUGAUGCCCUUGAAGAACCCAAUCUCUAUGCAUAUCGGAGAGCACCCAACCCUACAUAUGCAAGAGAUACAUACAAGGUGAAAGCUGAGAUCCCAAGUUUUAAUGGAAAUAUUGACAUUAAAGGGUGCCUGGAUUGGUUAUAUGAAGUGGAGACUUUCUUUGAGGUCAUGGAGGUUCCGGAAGAUCGUAGAGUUCCUUUGGUCGCAUACAAGCUAAAAGGAGGAGCCGGUGCAUGGUGGCAUCGCGUCCAAGAGGAGCGCAGGCUGAGAGGAGAACCUCGUGUUAGAACUUGGCGACAAAUGAAAGGCCUCUUGAAAGGGAGAUUUUUGCCCGCUGAUUAUGAACAGAUCCUAUUUAUCCAAUUUCAAAAUUGUGCUCAAGGAAAUAGGACUGUUUUAGAUUACACAGAGGAGUUUCUAAGGCUACAAGUGAGGUGCAACCUUGCUGAAACUGAAGAGCAACAAGUUGCAAGGUACAUCAAUGGUCUCAAUGAUGCUAUUCAAGAUCGAUUGAUGAUGCAACAAAUCUGGUCCAUUGAUCAAGCACAAGCUCUAGCCUUAAAGGCCGAGAGGUUUGUGAGGAUGAGAAAGACAACUAAGGCUCCAUAUCCUCCAUAUCCUCAUACCGAAGGCUCACCUAGGAGCCAACCUAAUAGAGUGGAAGAAAAGGCCACUCCACCAAAGACAAAACAGCCCAUCCCAAAACAAACUAGAGGCAAGGGUAAGGCAAAUGAAGGCCCAAAGUGCUAUAAAUGUGGUAAAGAGGGACACAUAUCCAGCGGUUGCCCACUAAGGAAAUUUGUUAACACGACUAUCCAUGAUGGUGAAAGCGAUGAGGAAGAAUACAAAUAUGAAGAUGUAGACGGACAAGAGGUUUGUCAAGAAGAAGGCGAAGAGGUGGUAUGUGUGAUCCAGCGUCUCCUAUGA
rnacentral:rRNA from 1 species